rnacentral:tRNA from 13 species
UGUACCCACCAGGGCUCGAACCUGGGACCUUCCGCGUGUUAGGCGGAUGUGAUAACCACUACACCAUGGGUAC